rnacentral:rRNA from 1 species
UACGUACCGUCCAAACGUUAUUCGGAAUCACUGGGCUUAAAGAGUUCGUAGGCGGCUCAGAAAGUUGGGUGUGAAAUCCCUCGGCUCAACCGAGGAAUUGCGCUCAAAACUACUGGGCUAGAGGGAGAUAGAGGUGAGCGGAACUGAUGGUGGAGCGGUGAAAUGCGUUGAUAUCAUCAGGAACACCGGAGGCGAAGGCGGCUCACUGGGUCUUUCCUGACGCUGAGGAACGAAAGCUAGGGGAGCGAACGGG